GAAGAAACUCAUUGCAGUUCAAGGUGAGUGUGUAGUUACACAUGUAAGAUAAAAAUAAAACUGUUUUGAUAAGCUGUGUAGCUCCCAAUCCUUUCUCUCUCCACGUGAUAUAGGGGUGUCUUUCCCUCGACCAGCACUGCCACCAACAGAUAUAUCAGACGCAGAGCUGGUCAAAGCAGCUGAUGACAUAGACACAUCCCAAGGAAAUGUAUUGGUAAGAGUCAUCUGGGUUUUAGAGGAGAGUCACUGCAUGUAUGCACUAUUACAUAUCUUACCUUGCCACUGUAGCUGUCAUCCUGUAUGUAGCUGUCAUCCUGUAUGUGGCUGUCAUCCUGCAUGUAGCUGUCAUCCUGCAUGUAGCUGUCAUCCUGUAUGUCACGUAAUCAUGACUUUCUAUUUUCCAUUUUAAUCACUAAUUUCAUUUAAGUUUUUUACACUCACACUUGACCAACACUCAUUUAAUUAUUUUGUUACAUCCUAUCACUGAUUGAUAUUCAUCUGGGCAUGUUGGAAUUGUGCUAUUAACUUAAUCACUGUUAUCUACAUUUGUAAUAUGUCUGUUCAUUCAUGCAAGCAUUUAUUCAUUAAUUUAACCUAUUUAUUUCUGUGUCACUGCAAAAGCCGUAGCCCUACAGCUCCACCCAUCGCUCCCUCGGCCUCUGCCUCCAAAUGACCGAGCCCCGGUCCCUGCCCCGGUUCCUGACCCGGCCCCUGCUCCUGCCCUACUAGGGCGGAGCGAAGAGGAGGAUUUGCCCCGGCAGUCCUUCCUGCCUCCAAGGCCCGCCUCAGAAAGUGCUGAGCUGCUGCUUCCAGAGAGUUGGCGUUCAUCUCUCACCAAGGAGCAGCAGCGGUGGAUCGGCCGCACGCGGUUCACCAGGAACAGCUUUGGGAG